rnacentral:lncRNA from 1 species
AUGGCCAAAGUUAUUCAUAAACACUGUGAUAGUCAGAGUGGAGACUCUUUGAAUAGAAAGCUUUGUUCAGGAUUUCCUGGAGUGAGGAGUAAAGCUGUCGUGGUCAAAGGGAGCUGCUCUGUAUGGAUUCAGUGCUGGGCUUAUCUGCCUUGCUUAAUGCGAUAUAUUUUAGCAGAAUCAAAGUUGGCUCUGAGUGUUUCUGGCAGAAAUGGCAGCCUAUUUGCAUAUUUACUGGCUUCUGGGAGUCUAGAUAUGUCAGCAGCCUCUGCUCCUUUUCACUCGAUCUUAUCUCCCCAUUCCAUUUCAGGAAAAAAUUCCUGCAAUCUCCUUCCCCCCGCCCCAGCCUUGGAGUGUGCUCUGCAUGCCGAGUGCUCUGAGCUUUUAAGACUGAGCUAUUUGCCUGAAGAUUCUAGUUUUCAUUCAAGAGUGAUGCUGGUCAUGAAAAAUGUAACCCUGUUCAGAGGGAUGCAGCAGAGGAACUUACAGCUUCCUGUGGGGAUUCCUGCCCCUUCAGUUAUCAGCAGCCUGGGGCUCGGAGUCUCAGCAAUUUUGGCAGAGGAGCCGGGGCUGAGCAGAGGGCCCAGGACUGCCCUGUGUCCUGAGGGGUUAUCCCAUCAGCAGAGGGAUGCUGUGAGUGGUUACAGCUUUUUCCAACAAGUAAAAGCAAAUUAA